rnacentral:misc_RNA from 1 species
UCAAAACAGCGGACUUCGGUCCUUGCUGCACCCUUGUCUUUUGCGCACCGUAUUGUUUCCUCGGCUGGCUUGCCUGCCGGUUGGACAUUAUCAAAACCUUUUUGUAGUUGCAAUCAGCGUCAGAAAAACAAUAAUUAUUA